rnacentral:lncRNA from 1 species
CAAACCAGUAAAACAAGAAUUUCUGUACAGUCCGCGCCUAUCCAUAGCAAAAUGGAGGACUUCUCCAGGGAACUGCAACUCCCAAGAAGCAAUGCGAGGGAAGGUGGCGGUCACAAUUUUUUCCCCGUCUGCACCUCUAGGUCCAAUAUUGGAAAUAGGUGCUGACGUUUAAAUAACACAGCGUCCUCAUACUAAAUCUGGGGGGGAACUGGUAACUCGAAAACCAAAUACUCGGUCUUCCGAAAGAACUAACUCAACCUACUCCUCUGCAAGAGGGUCCGAAAACCAUUGUUACGCCCAUUGGGUAGCCCCGCCCUUGGGGGGGGGCAAAGGGCGUGAAAGCGGAAGUGACGACACCCGGCGCUCCACUAAAUAGCCGUAGACGGAACCUCGGCUUUCUCUCGGCCUUAGCGCCAUUUUUUUGGAAACCUCUGCGCCAUGAGAGCCAAGGUGAGCGGUUCCUGGUAGUAAGCUUGGGAGGUAGGAGUUGGCGAGUAGUAGCGGGGAGACGAAGGCAAGUCCGCCAUACCUCCUGAACUACUGGGUUUCGAGGGUGCCCAAGAGCUGGUGGGAGAGAGAAGUGGAGGAAGAAGCGAAUGCGCAGGCUGAAGCGCAAAAGAAGAAAGAUGAGGCAGAGGUCCAAGUAAACCGCUAGCUUGUUGCACCGUGGUGGCCACAGGAGCAGAAACAUGGAAUGCCAGACGCUGGGGAUGCUGGUACAAGUUGUGGGACUGCAUGCUACUGUCUAGAGCUUGUCUCAAUGGAUCUAGAACUUCAUCGCCCUCUGAUCGCCGAUCACCUCUGAGACCCACCUUGCUCAUAAACAAAAUGCCCAUGUUGGUCCUCUGCCCUGGACCUGUGACAUUCUGGACUAUUUCUGUGUUUAUUUGUGGCCGAGUGUAACAACCAUAUAAUAAAU